ensembl:snRNA U6 U6 spliceosomal RNA
GCUUGCUUUGGCAAAACAUAUACUAAAAUUGAAAUCCUACAGAAAAGAUUAGCAUUGUCCCCGUGCAAUGAUGACACACAGAUAGCUGUAUGUCAACAAUUU